rnacentral:misc_RNA from 1 species
UUCCCAUUCUUACAAUGCACUAGUUCUGCGUUUCCUGGAGAAUCUCUUUGUCAAACAAUUCUUGGCGCUGAUUCGGCAUUAGGUAGUGGCUGCAGUAGCCAGAAAAUAUUCUCUGACGGGCCAAAUGACUCAAACCGUGCUCUCUCUCUUCUGUCAUCUCCAUCAGCUGAGACUCAGGAGAUUGGCUUGAGCCACAUGGUGCAGCCUGACAUGAACCCCCCAGCUCAGUCCCUGAUCCCAAGCCUGAACUUUAGCUUUCCUGGAAUGGAAAGUGGGCCUGUUGAUUCCGUUUUGGUCGCUGAUGGCAGUAGCAAUGCCAAUCUCCAUGGUCAGGGUAUGUUUCAGAUUGGACCUGAUGGGUCAUCUGCAAGCGGAUCUCUCCAGACACUUUCCUUCUCGUGGGAGUAAUAGCACCAUUUCCUCCUC